rnacentral:tRNA from 1 species
GCCACGGUGAUCCAGCGGUUAGAACGCUGGCCUUGUAAUCCUGGGGUCUCGGGUUCGAUUCCCGGCGGUGCCC